rnacentral:rRNA from 1 species
GAUGAACGCUAGCUACAGGCUUAACACAUGCAAGUCGAGGGGAAACGGCAUCGAAAGCUUGCUUUUGAUGGGCGUCGACCGGCGCACGGGUGAGUAACGCGUAUCCAACCUGCCCAUCACUUGGGAAUAACCUUGCGAAAGUAAGACUAAUGCCCAAUGACAUCCCACGAAGGCAUCCGAAUGGGAUUAAAGAUUUAUCGGUGAUGGAUGGGGAUGCGUCUGAUUAGCUUGUUGGCGGGGUGACGGCCCACCAAGGCAACGAUCAGUAGGGGUUCUGAGAGGAAGGUCCCCCACAUUGGAACUGAGACACGGACCAAACUCCUACGGGAGGCAGCAGUGAGGAAUAUUGGGCAAUGGGCGAGAGCCUGAACCAGCCAAGUAGCGUGCAGGAUGACGGCCCUAUGGGUUGUAAACUGCUUUUAUAAGGGAAUAAAGUGGGUCACGUGUGACUUUUUGCAUGUACCUUAUGAAUAAGGACCGGCUAAUUCCGUG